rnacentral:misc_RNA from 1 species
GAACGCACAUUGCGCCCUCUGGUAUUCCGGGGGGCAUGCCUGUUCGAGCGUCAUUAUAACCACUCAAGCCCUCGCUUGGUAUUGGGGUUCGCGGUUUCGCGGCCCCUAAAAUCAGUGGCGGUGCCUCUCGGCUCUACGCGUAGUAAUACUCCUCGCGAUUGAGUCCGGUAGGUUUACUUGCCAGCAACCCCCAAUUUUUACAGGUUGACCUCGGAUCAGGUAGGGAUACCCGCUGAACUUAAG